ensembl:lncRNA
GGACUUGCUGUCUGUUUCUCAUUGCUCUUCUGCUGGAGAAACAGGGCGCUGGACGGAGCUCUAUCGCAGUGACACGGGCUGAUUGAGUGCUGUGACUGCAGGCCAUAUCUAGCAUGUCAGCGGUCACAGCAGCUCCUGUGAUUUAGUGCAGAGAAGCAUGUCAGGUAAUGGGGAUAUAAUGGAUGGCAGGGUACCAUGACGACAUCAUAUCCCAUCCUUGGACAGGUGUUUCAGUUUGUGAAUGAGAGGAAAUGGGAUCUUUACACCCAAUUUGAAGUGAAGUGAGUGUGCGUUUACAUGGAGGAUAUCCCGUGACCCUAGUGUAAUGACUUGCAGACUACAGGUGGGCUUGCUCCUGAGUGGCACUGAUGGGCCACAUAAACACACUCUAUCACACUCCUCUCCUCUCCUACAGGCUCUCUUUAACUCUGAAUACUACUGGUGUGUCAAUACACCAUUUAAGUCACAACACUGGAAAUGAAAAGUUUAACAGGAAUGUUGUUUGCAUCUUUUAGAUGAAAAAGAACCUCACAAAUAGUUCUACUUCAGGCCAAGUGUUGACGUUCAACUGCAUAAUGUGGGUGUCAGUUUUGUUUGGAGUACAAAGAGUCAUGUUCAUACACAGUUAGGUUAUAAAAGACAUGAUUGACAAUCACAUUCUAUAAGUGU